AUUGAACGCUGGCGGCAGGCCUAACACAUGCAAGUCGAGCGGUUGAGGGUAGCUUGCUACCCGAUGCAGCGGCGAACGGGUGAGUAACGCGUGGGAAUCUGCCCAGUAGUGGGGGACAACAGUCGGAAACGACUGCUAAUACCGCAUACGCCCUACGGGGGAAAGGGGGGGAUCUUCGGACCUCUCGCUAUUGGAUGAGCCCGCGUCGGAUUAGCUAGUUGGUGAGGUAAAGGCUCACCAAGGAGACGAUCCGUUACUGGUCUGAGAGGAUGAUCAGUCAGACGUGAGCUGAGACACGGUCCAGACUCCUACGGGAGGCAGCAGUGGGGAAUUUUGGACAAUGGGGGCAACCCUGUUCCAGCCAUGCCGCGUGUGUGAAGGAGGCCUUAGGGUUGUAAAGCACUUUCAGUGGGGAGAAAAGUGAUUCACCUAAUACGUGAGUCAAUUGAUGUUACCCACAGACGAAGCACCGGCUAACUCCGUGCCAGCCGCCGCAGUAA
rnacentral:rRNA from 1 species